CAACUUUUAACAACGGAUCUCUUGGUUCUCGCAUCGAUGAAGAACGUAGCAAAGUGCGAUAACUAGUGUGAAUCGCAUAUUCAGUGAAUCAUCGAGUCUUUGAACGCAACUUGCGCUCAUUGGUAUUCCAAUGAGCACGCCUGUUUCAGUAUCAAA
rnacentral:rRNA from 1 species